AUGAAAAAUGCGCAGCAAUAUGACACGCUUGUUGAUCCUCUGGAAUGCCUUGAUCUUCAUCUCAGAGCAGUCGUAGUGAACACCUAUCGAGGCUUGAGACCAGACAUCAACUUUGCCAAGUUCUUUGUUCUGAACGCAAAGGCGCUCAAGGUAAUGAAAUUCGGUGUCUCUGCUAGUAACUUCAAUGAGCAAUGGAUGGCUGAUCAGCGCACAAAGCUGCAACUGGAUAACAGCCCUUCUAGAGAUGCCCGGUUCGAUUUUGAGAGAUAUAAUAGUGGUGAGGACAUGCUUUUUACCGACAAGAGGCACACACAUGAUAUGUGGAUAGCUGAUCCCUUUGACAGCUCACUGUGCAAAUGUUGUUGA
rnacentral:rRNA from 1 species